CAUACAUACACACAUACAGAGAAACAUUCAUACAGACACACAUUCAUACAGACACAUACAGACACACAACCACAAAAACACACAUACAUACAAACAAACACACACAUAUACAAAAUGUUUAGUCACCCUCCUAUUUCCUACCUUUUAGGUGCAGGAGGGUGACUUUCUUGGGGUCCAGUUGUGGCUCAGCCUGAUUGGAGUCAAAGUUCCCACUCUGACUCCCUCUUCUUUCCUCCCGUGCAGCUCCCAGUGUAAGCUAGGAGGAGUGACCGGGGCAGUCACUUCCUCCCAGCUGUGAUGUCAUCACAAGGGGCACG